rnacentral:rRNA from 1 species
GACGAACGCUGGCGGCGUGCCUAAUACAUGCAAGUCGAACGAGAGCGACCGGUGCUUGCACUGGUCAAUCUAGUGGCGAACGGGUGAGUAACACGUGGGUAACCUGCCCAUCAGAGGGGGAUAACAUCCGGAAACGGAUGCUAAAACCGCAUAGGUCUUCGAACCGCAUGGUUUGAAGAGGAAAAGAGGCGCAAGCUUCUGCUGAUGGAUGGACCCGCGGUGCAUUAGCUAGUUGGUGAGGUAACGGCUCACCAAGGCCGUGAUGCAUAGCCGACCUGAGAGGGUGAUCGGCCACAUUGGGACUGAGACGCGGCCCAAACUCCUACGGGAGGCAGCAGUAGGGAAUCUUCCGCAAUGGACGCAAGUCUGACGGAGCAACGCCGCGUGAGUGAAGAAGGUUUUCGGAUCGUAAAACUCUGUUGUUAGAGAAGAACAAGUGCUAGAGUAACUGUUAGCGCCUUGACGGUAUCUAACCAGAAAGCCACGGCUAACUACGUG